CUAUGACGUCUUUCUGUUGGCCGCUGUCAUAUGACGUAUGACGAAUGAUCUUUUCGGGCAAUCGGAAUUUAUAUUGUUUUUGCAUUAGGCGUAUCUGAUGCAGUAAUUGUUAAGUGUAAUUCUUCAGGAACGUUGUGCGGACGUUUUGACACCUAUUUAGCAGCUAUCCAGUUAGUGGACACUUUGUAAACCAUGGCAGCACCGAUCUACAAUCCAGUAAUACCAUGCCUGUACCCGCUUCCGGGGGGCAUGUACCCCGGCCGCAUGAUCCGCGUCCAGGGUAACGUACCGCCAGGCGCCCAGAGAUUUGCCAUCAACCUCCAGUGCGGACCCAACACGGAUCCCCGCGACGACAUUGCUCUCCACCUGAACUUUCGCUUCGUGGAGAUGUGCGUGGUCCGCAACCACCUGUCCUCGAUGGAGUGGGGGGUUGAAGAGACUGAUGGGGGAAUACCGAUCAGGAGGGGGGAGCCGUUCGAGGCGCUGCUGCUGUGUGAGCCACAGUCUAUCAAGGUGGCCCUAAACGGCAUCCAUUUCUGCGAGUUCCUCCACCGGACUCCGUUCCAGCGGAUCACCCACAUCACUGUCGAUGGAGACGUGGCCGUCCAGUUCAUAGGCUUUGAGGGAGCCGCGCCGCAGCAGCCGUAUAUGGCGGACCCCCCAACUUAUGGGGGACAGUACGGGCCCCCGCCCCCCGCUUACGGGGCCCCUGGCUAUGGUGCCCCUCAAGGUUAUUCCGCACCACCGCCUACAGCUGUGCAAGGCUACACCGCAGCCCCAUACGAAGCGCCCCAACAGCGCUCAGGCAUGGGCACGGGGGCAGCGGUGGGGCUUGGGGUGGGCGCUUUGGCCGCGGGGGGGCUGGCAGGCUACGCCAUUGGUGGGGGAUUCCGCAGCGACAGCCCGCCUUCCGAGGUAGGUCACGGGUACAACCCGUUGUUCGACGGGUACAACCCAGCGUUCGAUGUGGGGUACCCUAUGGGUGAUGGUAGAGAUACGUUCCGGUCGGAUUCUGAGAAUACUGUGGAGCAACCAGGGAGUGUUGAAGAGGCUGCGCCGCUUGCUGAGUAUCCAACUCAAACUGAGCCUGAAAGUCUACCGAUCGAGAAUUUGGCUAUAUCAGAACCGAAAGAUAACGAUUUCGAUGGAGGCGAUGACAAUGAUUAUCUUGAGGAUAAUGCUGGCGAUGGCGAUGGCGAUGAUGAUGAUUACUUGGAGAAUGACGAUAAUGAUAAUAACGAUGAUGGUGGCAACAAUGACAAUGAUGAUGACUAUCUGGAAGAUAACGGAGAUGAUUAAAAGUACAAUAUAUUCAAGAUAUUAUGUAGUAAUUAGUAAAUAAAUGAAGAAUACUCACAUAUAUUAAUAAUACUCAGAGUGAUAGCACAAUAUUGUAUUGAAGCUUAUACUAAUUUAGUAUCAUCACAGCACAAGUUUUUAAUAGAAAAAUAAUGUAUACAGACAGUUAUAAGUAGAAUAAGAGAAUAUAAUAAUAAGUAUACAGGUGAAAAAUGUAUAAUAAUAAGAUUAUAUGAAGAUGGAAAGAAACCAUGACAUAUAAUAAAUAAAAAACAGAACUGAAAGUAGAAUAUCUACAGUUAUAUAAAUUAACAACUAUGGGAUCAGUGCCUACAUGAAAAAUAUAGCGAAGUAUGAAGUGAUAUAUCGUUGAAACUAAGUCGCCUGACAUUUGUAAACAUCGUCGAGAGCUUCGGCGGCGAUGACUGGAUGGACUGAGGUUGUAUACAUAAGAUCGUGGCGGUCACGGCGGUGGCCUUCGUCAUGUUUGUCGCGAAGAUCACUGUUGAAGGACUGAUGAUUGUGUGGGUGGGCUGGGCGAAGGACAAGUAAUUGGAAGGUCUUGGGUAGUUGACACCAGUCAAUGAAGUAUUGUAUUUGCUGUCACCAAUUGGCGCCACUGACUGGUCAAUAGUAGUUAAGACAGGGCUUUUUUUUACAGUGGCGCUACUAUUUUAGCCACUAGUGACAUGAUUGAACAGUGGUGUCAGUCUAAUAAGAGAACCUUACUUUACAGUGGCGCCACUAUCUUAGCCAUUGGUGACAGGAUCUUACUUUACAGUGGCGCUACUAAUUUAGCCACUAGUGACAGGACUUAACAGCGGCGCCCUGUCUUAGUCAUUGGUGACAGGAUCUUACUUUACAGUGGCGCUACUAUUUUAGCCACUAGUGACAUGAUUGAACAGUGGCGUCAGUCUAAUAAGAGAACCUUACUUUACAGUGGCGCCACUAUCUUAGCCAUUGGUGACAGGAUCUUACUUUACAGUGGCGCUACUAAUUUAGCCACUAGUGACAGGACUUAACAGCGGCGCCCUGUCUUAGUCAUUGGUGACAGGAUCUUACUUUACAGUGGCGCUACUAUUUUAGCCACUAGUGACAUGAUUGAACAGUGGCGUCAGUCUAAUAAGAGAACCUUACUUUACAGUGGCGCCACUAUCUUAGCCAUUGGUGACAGGAUCUUACUUUACAGUGGCGCUACUAAUUUAGCCACUAGUGACAGGACUUAACAGCGGCGCCACUGUCUUAGUCAUUGGUGACAGGAUCUUACUUUACAGUGGCGCUACUAAUUUAGCCUCUUGUGACAGGACUUAACAGCGGCGCCACUAUCUUAGCCAUUGGUGACAGGAUCUUACUUUACAGAGGCGCUACUAAUUUAGCCACUAGUGACAGGACUUAACAGCGGCGCCACUGUCUUAGUCAUUGGUGACAGGAUCUUACUUUACAGCGGCGCUACUAAUUUAGCCACUAGUGACAGGACUUAACAGCGGCGCCACUGUCUUAGUCAUUGGUGACAGGAUUUACAGUGGCGCUACUAAUUUCGCCUCUAGUGACAGGACUUAACAGUGGCGCCACUAUCUUAGCCACUAGUGACAAACCCUUACUUUACAGUGGCGCCAACUGGUAAAAGCAAAUACAAUAGCCCUCAUUAACUUACUUUUUGACACACCAAUAUUUGAUGUCACUAAACUGUUGAUUGAAUUCAAGCUACUGAAAAUCGGAUUUUACAGCAAAUUGUAAACCAGAUCGUUUUUAUUCAGGCAUCAUUUAGUGAUGUCAGAUUUCUAUUUAAAACUAAACUCGAUUUUCAGGCUGACUUCAAGUGAACGAAGUUGUGUCUUGGUGUCAACUACUCAAUAUAAAAAAAUGCUCAAAACUCAAUUCAUGACUAUACAACAACCUAAAUUCUUUAAAAAGUCCGUAAUACAGCUUAAAAUACUGUGAAUUCUGUUCUAUGAUUGGCCUAAAUAAAGGGAAAGAAAUCAAAAACCUCGAUCGAAUAGAAUUUGAGCCUCGUUCUUAAGAAAGUGUUUAAAAAUUGACAAUUAUAAAGUGUUUAUAAAUUAAGAACAACUAAAAUGUAAAAAUUACUUAAGAUCCUCCCACUCAACAUUUUAUUUUACUUAAAUGCGUGCAGUGCCAUUAUUAUGUAAUAUUAAAAUAUUUUAUUAUUAGUAGCCCUUUAAGAGACGCAGCGAAGAUAUCACAAUGUCCAAAUUUUUAUAAUAUUAUUCAGUAUGUCAGUGUAAGUAGGCACAACAACAAGUAUUAAAGAGAACCCCACAUAAUAAUGUUUAAUUCUUAUUUUUUUCUGAGUCUAUGCUAUGUUAAUAUAGGUAUAGUAUAAGAGUGAUAAACAAAGCCAUUUAUACUUUAAAAUACGUAUUAUCAGAUGUCCAAUAACAUGAUUAUAUUUGUAUUUACUUACAUAAUAUACUUUUGAUCAAAGAAUACAAGAAAUAUUAAUUAAAAAAUAAGCACUAGAAUUGCUUUUUCAACUUAACGUUAUUAUUUAUUUAUUUAUUUUUAUUUAUUAUUCAUUAUUGAGCAACUACAUAUUUGAUCCAAAUAACGUUUUCUUGUUAUUCGUGUAAUUAAAUUAUAUUUAGUCAGAAUAAAGCCAGUAGAUUUCUAUAAUGACCUAGAUACUUAUUGUUAUAAGUAAUAUCAAGCCUUUAUAUUAAGUUUAAUUUAAUUUAAAAUCUAUAAUCAUUAUGUAAAAUCAGCGAAGGUUUAUUUGGUUUUGUAAUGUCUUGAAAAUAUUUUAUUGUAAAAUGUAAUAAGGAAAUGUAUUGUAUAAUAUUUAAAUAAUAUUUAUAAAUGUUAUAAAAAACUUAAGUACAGUGUAAUAUGGUGUGAUUGACAAAAAAUAUAUUUAUAGUAUCGAUAAAAUAAAAUGUAUAUAUUUCGGCCUUAAAUGCUAGCAAAGUAUAUAAAUAUAAUAUGUAUAAUAUUUAAUAAUAAUAUGUAUAAGAAUAACUAAAAUUCAAAGUAAAUAUUUAUCUUCAAAGAUUUGCUAUAGUAAUAUUAUAUUCAAUGUUGAAACGGUGAAUAAAGAAUAUACUAUAUUAUUUUUUGUAUUAUUAACUCAUUAUUUUAAUACUUUUUCUAUUUUUUAUUUAAUACUGCCAUCAUUUAUAUUAUAUUUUUUGUUAUAUUGCUAUAAACAAUUAUUUUAAGUACACCAAAGAUUUAAAAUGGCAGCUAAGAAUCGUCUACGUAGGAUUUUCAAAAUUUAAAGAUAUUAGACAAUAUAAUAUCGGAAGUUGUAUGUUUGCGUUUAGAUUAUCAAUAAAGUCUAUAAUAAAUGUAUCACAUGUAAAGAUCCAAUGUUGCAGCGUUCAUAAAAAGCACCACCAAUCUUUUUAUAAAAUCAAUCGCGAAGAUCCUCAUUGGAAUAAGGUUGUGUUGUCAACUUUUUAGCCACUUUGGGUGUCACGAACUAUUUGCUUGUUAACUGUUCCUACUAUUUAAAUAUUUUAUUUAUGAGGUGACUGUUUCAUUAUAGUAACUUACUUAUUACAGAAACAAAACUUUGACUUUUCCCUCAUUCAUUUACCAACUCUUCUAUAAUUAAAAUGAUUAAAAAACAUCAAAUCAUAACGCUAUUUUUAAAUCCAAUGUAAUUUUACCCACACCGGCAACAAAUUGUUAUUUGUCGUUCCCGGGAACAUUCUCAGAACGUGAUUUUUCCCGGGAACGUUUCCUAAUAGGUAUCCAAUCAACCGGAACAUUAUGAGAACGUUGCCAGGAAUGUUCCUGACUUUAAAAAUGUUCCUUAAAAAAUUAAAAAAAUGGUUUAAGUUAGGAAUAACAUCACAAGUAUCUAUUAGAAAAAACAAUAUUUAAAAUCAGCUCAUGUUUUAUUUAUUUUAUGGGCUAUGAUUCUUUUCUUUUGUAUCUGCUUUUGGAAACACUGCAAUUGUGUGUUAAAUAAAUAAGUAUUAUUAAUUUUGAA